rnacentral:lncRNA from 1 species
CUGGAAGACAGGCAUCACUGGGAUGGGAUGAGCUGCACAGAAAAGUGGCUCCCAGAGACAGGGAGGGAAGACGGUGAACAGGACCAAAAGUGACGGCGAGCACUCACACUGACCCAGUGCCCAUCGUGUGGCAGCGAAAUCCUUUAUUCUCUCUGAGAUGCGGAGAGCACUGCACAGUGAGGGUGGUGUCAGAGCGCAGCCCCUCCAAGCCUGCUGUGGAUGUGACCUCAGGCCUCCGCCCG